CCGGGGUUGUCGGUUUCUGUGUGUGCCCCGAGCUCUACCACACAACGUGCCUGUUCCACCGGCACAGGAAUAAAAGGAGAUCGCUUGGAGGAAAAUCAGUGAGGACGUCGGAUUGUCUGUUGUGUGUUUUAUUCAGGUGGGUUAUGAUGAAGGAAAUGGAAGAAACAGAGGGACACGUAUUUGCAGAAGAGGAGAAAGGAGACAGAGUGGAGGAGUGGGUCGGGGGCAGGGCCAUCAGGACCCUCCAUCACCAAAGGGGGACGAGCAGUAACAUGGAGAGGGGGGUCGAGGACAGUCAGGCUGCAGAGGACUUCCAUGAAGAUCAGGGCCAGCAGAUGAGAACAUCAUCUACUCCUGUCUGAAACACUACUACCUGCUGCCGCUUCUGCUCCUCCAACACCUGGCCCAUCCACUCCAGCUGCUGUUUCCACAGAGACCCCAAGGAGGAGACCCCUGAGUGACUCCAGACAGCAGCUGACAGAGGUGGAGAGGGUGUUGUUGGAGGCCCUGAGGACCAGUCCACCUGCAGCAGGAGGUGGAGAGGAUGGAAAGUCUGCUUCAUUCCCUGCAGAGAUUGCCGCUUCAGAUGAACAAAUUUCUCUUCAAAUUCAUAGACUGAUGUAUAAAUAUAGCACUGUUCUGCUUAAUCUAUAACAAUUGGAACCUACAGAAUAGUUUUGGUUUCUACAAACUGAGGUAAAUAUCUCUGCAGGGAAUGAGCCAGACUUUAAUCUCCUGUCUCCUCUCCGUCUGAUCCCUCUCUCUUCCAUUAAACUCCUCCA